rnacentral:rRNA from 1 species
UACGAAGGGGGCUAGCGUUGCUCGGAAUCACUGGGCGUAAAGCGCACGUAGGCGGCUUACUAAGUCAGGGGUGAAAUCCUGGAGCUCAACUCCAGAACUGCCUUUGAUACUGGUGAGCUUGAGUCCGGAAGAGGUGAGUGGAACUGCGAGUGUAGAGGUGAAAUUCGUAGAUAUUCGCAAGAACACCAGUGGCGAAGGCGGUCUCUGGGCGGUACUGACGCUGAGGUGCGAAAGCGUGGGGAGCAAACAGGAUUAGAA